rnacentral:rRNA from 1 species
CACGUAGGUGCAAGCGUUGUCCGGAAUCACUGGGCGUAAAGGGCGCGUAGGCGGCCUGAUAAGUAGGGGGUGAAAUCCUGCGGCUUAACCGCAGGGCUGCCUUCUAAACUGUCAGGCUAGAGCACGGUAGAGGCAGAUGGAAUUCCCGGUGUAGCGGUGGAAUGCGUAGAGAUCGGGAAGAACAUCAGUGGCGAAGGCGGUCUGCUGGGCCGUUGCUGACGCUGAGGCGCGACAGCGUGGGGAGCAAACAGG